rnacentral:rRNA from 1 species
AUUGAACGCUGGCGGCAGGCCUAACACAUGCAAGUCGAGCGGAUGAAGGGAGCUUGCUCCUGGAUUCAGCGGCGGACGGGUGAGUAAUGCCUAGGAAUCUGCCUGGUAGUGGGGGAUAACGUCCGGAGACGGGGCCUAAUACCCAUACGUUCCGGGGGAGGAAGGGGGGGAAUCUUGGAACCCCCGCUAUUAAAUGAGCCCUAGGUCGGAUUAGCUAGUUGGUGGGGUAAAGGCCUACCAAGCCGACGAUCCGUAACUGGUCUGAGAGGAUGAUCAGUCACACUGGAACUGAGACACGGUCCAGACUCCUACGGGAGGCAGCAGUGGGGAAUAUUGGACAAUGGGCGAAAGCCUGAUCCAGCCAUGCCGCGUGUGUGAAGAAGGUCUUCGGAUUGUAAAGCACUUUAAGUUGGGAGGAAGGGCAGUAAGUUAAUACCUUGCUGUUUUGACGUUACCAACAGAAUAAGCACCGGCUAACUUCGUG